GCUGGCGGUAGGCUUACACAUGCAAGUCGUGCGAGAAAGUACCUUCGGGUGCGAGUAGAGCGGCGGACGGGUGAGUAACGCGUAGGAAUCUACCUAGUAGAAGGGGAUAGCCCGAGGAAACUCGGAUUAAUACCGUAUACCUCCUUAGGGAGAAAGAGGGCUUAGCUUUGAUGCUCUCGCUAUUAGAUGAGCCUGCGUAAGAUUAGCUUGUUGGUGAGGUAAUGGCUCACCAAGGCGACGAUCUUUAGCUGGUCUGAGAG
rnacentral:rRNA from 1 species